GUAGGUGAACCUGCGGAAGGAUCAUUAAUAAUGCCCUCUGACUUCGGUCAGCUGGGUUCAAUGUGUGUCAACUCUUCGGAGUUGGCCAUCCACACACACCGUGAACUGUGGCUUCGGCCAUCACAAACUAUUAGUAAUGAAUGUAAAAUCAUAACAAAAUAAAACUUUUAACAACGGAUCUCUUGGCUCUC
rnacentral:misc_RNA from 1 species